CCACUAGCCCAGACAGUGAAGCCAUGGAAGCGACCUCUGUUGCACAUUUUUCAAGCCUCCCUUCUCCAUCCCGAAGGCUUUCUCAGAGAAGGCGGAGG